rnacentral:tRNA from 1 species
GGAGAGAUGGCCGAGCUGGCUGAAGGCGGCACCCUGCUAAGGUGUUGUAUCCGAUAGGGUACCGAGGGUUCGAAUCCCUCUCUCUCCGCCA